rnacentral:tRNA from 1 species
CCGCCCGUAGCUCAGUUGGUAGAGCAGCUCCCUUUUAAGGAGAUGGUCGAGGGUUCGAUUCCCCCCGGGCGGACAA